AAAUUAAGAAUUUACUCCUUUUGUUUCAGGUUUUCUUCCUCCUCUCCUCUCCUCUCUCUUGUGAGCUUCCUAACCCAGGCUUGGUGGUGGGUUUGGAGUGGUUAAUGGAUUUUGAUCUCUUGUGGGUAACUGGGGGAGGGUUAAUUACUACAACUGGAAUUCAUUUUAUGGCUACUAAAUCAUCAGUUUGGGAAGCCUCAUCAACAAAGUCAUCACAAGUACUUGUAGCUGCUAUCAUUCUUCUUGCUCUUCUCUUUAUUCUUCCUCUCCAGCUUUCUCAUCAUUCUCCAGAUUUCUCCAGAAAAUUAUUCAUGGACUCCUCCCCAUCAUUCCCUUCCAGGCAACUCUUAUCCUCCUCUUCUUCUAAAACCACAGCAACUACUACAACCACAAAGUUACAGCCACAACAAGCACAACAAACACCACCUUCAUUUGCUGCAGCUGCCCAUCAAGUCCCUAGCGGUCCUAAUCCUGAGUCCAACAAGUGAAUCAACAGGACGACAGUGGCGGAUUGGAGUAUAAGUGGGUGCUCAUGCAUAUGUUUUGGUGUGCAAGUCAUUUCAGAAAACAUAGACUUCAAGUAUUUAUAUAUAGUAAGUUGUAUGAAUAUGCUUAGUUCAGCUCAUUUCAUAUUAUGAUGGUAAGGGUGUGGGGGUGUAAAUUUGUAUUGAGAAACACAAAUCUAUUCAGAGGCUUCAUUUUUAUUGUUUACCAUAUUAAAUGUUUCUGUAAAUGACUAGCUAGUAUUAAUAUAUAUAUAUAUAUAUUUCCAGGAGAGAAAUUAAGUGAGAGAGGUGUAAGGCAAUGCAGUGUGCCGAUGAAAGCUGUAGUCAGAUUUGUCAUUCUGAUUUCAAUUAAGUUUUGGUUUCAUGUUU